rnacentral:lncRNA from 1 species
GUCAGCAUCCGUGCUGCAGCCUGACCUCUGGUGGCGUUUUCGCGUCACUGCCAGCAGCCUCCUGCAGCCGCUCUAGGUGUCUGUUUUCAUGCUACCUGCACCCGAAUACAUUCCGGUUGCUACACACAAGGUGGUAGGAUUGGGCAGUUAUUUUCUUCUUUGAAAAACCGAGAAACCAUCUGCAUACCGUAAAACUCACUUUUUUUGGCUGCAUGCCCGGCGUGCGCAAGUUCCCAGACCAGGCACUGAACCCAUGCCACCGCGUCGCCCGGAGCCACGGCAGGGACAGCACUGGAGCUUUAACCCACUGCACCGCAAGGGGACUCCUCGGACUCACCGUUUAUAAGAGAAAGGAGUUACAAACCAAAAAUGCAACCAUCCUGGCUUCUGUGUUACCUACGUGGAUACAGGAUGCAGCGCCAAGCUGAGGAGUGGGCAAGGGGUCCCAGGGAGGGACGUGCCUGGCAAACGGAGACCAGCUGCACGGGGCUGAUUGGGGACUGUCGCCCCCGGCGGUGGAAACGUCUUUCCUGCCUGCGCUGAAGGAGGAAGGGACCCUCGGAGGCGGAGGUCUACACCCAACGCAAGUGCGAAUACGCGUGCCCACACCUGCGAAAGGCUCCUGCGACACUACUUAUGCACGAUGGCCCAAGCCCGAUACCAGCCCGCCGCCAGCAGCAGAAGAGCUGGACGAACGCGCUGGAGCCCUGAGAACGGCUGUGUUCGCGCCAAACACACCCACGAGGGCGCGGAGGACGCUCCCGGGGCGGCCGGAGCCCUGCGGGGGCGCCACGGUCAAUGACAAGCUGAGUCACGACAGGGGCCGGAGGAGGGGCCGGGACACGGCGCGCGGCCGUCUGGACGCGGCCUCGCCGGCUCGUUCGGUUCCGGAGGAAGCGCCGGCGCACGCGCUUUUCCAGAUGACCCUUCACCCUGGAGGGAAAAAGCAAAAGCCGCAGAGCCGGCGGCAGCCUGGUUUCCCGCCUCGCCGCCUCCCCCCGGCGGCCGCUCUGCGAACUGCAGCGCUGGCGGGCAGGCGCGCCCGGGAGGCGGGUUCAGGAGCACCUCGAGCAGAAGGAAAGCUCCGCCCAUCGGCCAAGCCCCGGCCGCGUGCAGAACUCACUCCGGGGACUCACGGGUUGAAAAAGCAGAACCGGCCGGGGCCCUACCGGCCUCUGAAGUGGGUUGGGCCCAGGUCCCCCGCCCCUGCACUCCCGUCUCACCCCUCCCGGCUCCCCAAACCCCAGCCCCACCGUCACCGGCCGGGGCUCCUUCGCGGGUCUCUGCGUGGCUGACUCAGGUCAGGUGUGGAGCGCGUGACGGAGGCGGGCCAAUCAGGGCUGACUGUCCUUGAUUGGCUCGAAAGCGAGCAUGUGACUAAGCCUGGCCAAUCGGAGCGAGACGUGGGACUUUGGCGGGGCAUGCGGGGUGGGGCGGGGCGCCAAGGCAGCAACCUCCCUCCUUAAGGAGGCAGCCCCUGGAGCUGGAAGCCGCCACCUGGUCACUGUCUGCAAAGGGGAGCAACAGCCACGUGACGGAGCCGGAGCAGUGCCCGGCCACAUGCUUGGAUCGCUGGGUCCACGCCUGCCUGACGUGGAAUCUAGGACUACUCGGUUGCGUGGGAAAGUUUCCUUUUCUGGCGGUAAGGCAAUUUCCCCCCACCCCACCCGACCCCAGUGCUGUGCCACGGAAAGAAGGAAACAGAAGGAGUGUGAUGCCCCGUGAUUCCAGAACGAUGAGCCCUUGGAUUGGAGGGAGUGAUGGCGACCUCAGGGGUGAGGGUAGUGCUGCAGGAAAGAGGAGAGAUUUUUGCUGUGACUUGAGAUCAGGGAGCUUUAAACGGGCAAAAUUAAGUCACCAGUAAACCACGCAGGAAAUGAAAGCGAGAGGUGAACGUCUCCACUUUAGAUUUUAUAUCUAUCUUUCGAUUCCUGUCAUCAAAGUUUCCAACCCCAUGGUUUGAUAAACGCACUACCUAGGUUCAACAA